rnacentral:lncRNA from 1 species
GUGUGGACUAAAACACCCUUGCUGACUUUAGCAGCCUUGUCGUAGCUGUGUUGCGACACCAUCAAGCCUGUGGCGCAACUUCGAUGACAAUGUACUCUUUUGGUGUGCGUUCAAGGCUGUGUUGCGACAUCCUCUAGUGUGUGUCACGACAUGGAUGGCAAUAUUCUCCUGAGGUAUUCUGGAAGGCGUGGUGUGACAUCCAAGCAGAAUGUUGCAACAUAAGGAGCAGUCUAUUGACUUUUUGACCUUAAUCAAAGUCCUCACACUCAUGCAACAUGUUUGUCCUCC